GGAAGGUUAAGGGGAACACUUAGCGUAAGCGAAGGUGUGAACUUAAGCCCCAGUAAACGGCGGCCGUAACUAUAACGGUCCUAAGGUAGCGAAAUUCCUUGUCGGGUAAGUUCCGACCCGCACGAAUGGCGUAAUGAUUUGGGCACUGUCUCAACAGCAAAUCCGGCGAAAUUGUAGUGCAAGUGAAGAUGCUUGCUACCCGCGAUUGGACGGAAAGACCCCGUAGAGCUUUACUGUAGCUUAGCAUUGAAUCUCGGUAUUGUCUGUACAGGAUAGGUGGGAGACUUGGAAGCUUGGGCGUCAGCCUGAGUGGAGUCAUCCUUGGGAUACCACCCUGACAGUACUGGGGUUCUAACCGGCGGCCAUGAAUCUGGUCACGGGACAUUGUUAGGUGGGCAGUUUGACUGGGGCGGUCGCCUCCUAAAAAGUAACGGAGGCGCCCAAAAGUUCCCUCAGCGCGG
rnacentral:rRNA from 1 species